rnacentral:rRNA from 1 species
UACGGGGGGGGCAAGCGUUGUUCGGAAUUACUGGGCGUAAAGGGCUCGUAGGCGGCCAACUAAGUCCGACGUGAAAUCCCAAGGCUUAACCUUGGAACUGCGUCGGAUACUGGAUGGCUUGAAUUCGGGAGAGGGAUGCAGAAUUCCAGGUGUAGCGGUGAAAUGCGUAGAUAUCGGGAGGAACACCUGUGGCGAAAGCGGCGCACUGGACCACAACUGACGCUGAUGCGCGAAAGCUAGGGGAGCAAACAGG